rnacentral:rRNA from 1 species
UACGGGGGGGGCAAGCGUUGUCCGGAAUCACUGGGCGUAAAGGGCGCGUAGGCGGCCUGAUAAGUAGGGGGUGAAAUCCUGCGGCUUAACCGCAGGGCUGCCUUCUAAACUGUCAGGCUCGAGCACAGUAGAGGCAGGUGGAAUUCCCGGUGUAGCGGUGGAAUGCGUAGAGAUCGGGAAGAACAUCAGUGGCGAAGGCGGCCUGCUGGGCUGUUGCUGACGCUGAGGCGCGACAGCGUGGGGAGCAAACAGG